rnacentral:rRNA from 1 species
GACGAACGCUGGCGGCGUGCUUAACACAUGCAAGUCGAACGAUGAAGCCGGAGCUUGCUCUGGUGAAUUAGUGGCGAACGGGUGAGUAACACGCGAGUAACCUGCCCUUGACUCUGGGAUAACUGCUAGAAAUGGUAGCUAAUACCGGAUACGACCCUCGGAGGCAUCUCCAGGGGGUGGAAAGAAUUUCGGUCAAGGAUGGACUCGCGGCCUAUCAGCUAGUUGGUGAGGUAACGGCUCACCAAGGCGACGACGGGUAGCCGGCCUGAGAGGGUGACCGGACACACUGGGACUGAGACACGGCCCCGACUCCUACGGGAGGCAGCACUGGGGAAUAUUGCACAAGGGGCGCAAGCCUGAUGCGGCAGCGCCGCGUGAGGGAUGACGGCCUUCGGGUUGUAAACCUCUUUUAGUAGGGAAGAAGCGAAAGUGACGGUACCUGCAGAAAAAGCACCGGCUAACUACGUGCCAGCCGCCGCAGUAA